rnacentral:sRNA from 1 species
ACUGGGCAUGGUGGUGUAUGCCUGUAAUCCCAGCGACUCAAGAGGCUGAGGCAGGAGCAUUGAGAGUUCAAAGUCAGCCUCAGCAACUUAGUGAGGCACUUAGCAACUCAACAAGACCCUGUCUCUA